rfam:Spinacia oleracea cultivar SynViroflay scaffold36956.con0003.1, whole genome shotgun sequence.
AGACCAUGGUGUGGACAUUCUCUCUGCAGAUCCUUGAACCUCUCCCAGACCUCAAAUAAGCUUUUAUCUGCCAACUGUGUGAUGGAAAUAAUUUGACUCC